UAAGGAAUAUUGGUCAAUGGAGGAAACUCUGAACCAGCCAUGCCGCGUGAAGGAUGAAGGCCCUCUGGGUUGUAAACUUCUUUUAUAUGGGAAGAAAUCCCCGAUUUCUAUCGGGGUUGACGGUACUAUAUGAAUAAGCACCGGCUAACUCCGUGCCAGCAGCCGCGGUAAUACGGAGGGUGCAAGCGUUAUCCGGAUUUACUGGGUUUAAAGGGUGCGUAGGUGGAGCGGUAAGUCAGUGGUGAAAUACUUCGACUCAAUCGGAGAACUGCCGUUGAUACUAUCGUUCUUGAAUGUGGUUGAGGCGGGCGGAAUGUGUCAUGUAGCGGUGAAAUGCUUAGAUAUGACACAGAAUACCAAUUGCGAAGGCAGCUCGCUAAGCCACUAUUGACACUGAGGCACGAAAGCGUGGGGAGCAAACAG
rnacentral:rRNA from 1 species